UACGGGGGGGGCAAGCGUUGUUCGGAAUUACUGGGCGUAAAGGGCUCGUAGGCGGCCAACUAAGUCAGACGUGAAAUCCCUCGGCUUAACCGGGGAACUGCGUCUGAUACUGGAUGGCUUGAGUUCGGGAGAGGGAUGCGGAAUUCCAGGUGUAGCGGUGAAAUGCGUAGAUAUCUGGAGGAACACCGGUGGCGAAGGCGGCAUCCUGGACCAACACUGACACUGAGGAGCGAAAGCCAGGGGAGCAAACGGG
rnacentral:rRNA from 1 species